CCAAGCCAAUCCCCUUCUGAGACCAUUCCUACCUUCCAGGUCAGCAGGCUUCCCAGAAGGCCUAUGAAUGAGUCACCGUGUCCUGCUGUGGGGUUAUCUUAGCCCUUAGAGCCCAGGGGAUCUGGGAGGUUUACAGGCUUGUACAGCCCUGGCCACAGCGAUUGGUUCUGGGAUGAGCACGUGACCCAAGACAGGCCAAUUAGAGUCACCCUUGCAACUUAGGCUGAAAGGAUUGGGCAAGAGGCACGCCCUUGGUGGUCAUCCAAGCUGCAAAGUGGAGCUGCUCUGCCUGAGAACGACGCUAACACAGAAGAAAAUAAGAAAAGCAGAGAGAGACACUUUCUGAUGCCAUUACUGAACCCCUCCUCUGGCGAUGCCAAAAGUCAGAUGCACCCCUGAUCCUCCCAAUUGUGCGGGCAGAUAAAUGAUUUCAUGCUCUGAA